rnacentral:misc_RNA from 1 species
UAUCUAUUUCAAUUUUGAUCAGCUGAUUGAUAUCUCCUGAUUGCUUGUAUUUGUGUAAAGGCCGAUGCUUUAUAAAUAUCAAAAACUAUAUUAUUAAUGAUAUUUUUUUUCUACAAAGUAAUUUAUAUUAUUUAAUUUUGUAUAAUUUUCUACAAUUAUCUUAAUAAUAAAAAUAAGAUGGAAAUAGAAGAAUCAAUAAAAGAAAAUGCUGUAGAGGUUAUUAGGGAAGGAUUGAGAGAAUUGAUUCAUACAGAAAGAAAGGAAAAUCGUAUGAAAACAAUAAAUAAAAGUCGUGUGGCUUUAGGAAAUAUUAUAACGAAUUCAUCUUUUACAACAGAGUUUGUAAUUGAAAAAGCAAAAGCUCUUAAAAAAAAAGCAUUAUCUAUUGAAGAAUAUAAAGAGCUUCAAAAUGCUCUUAUUCAGAGUGAAGAAAAUGUUAAUUCGUUUUUAAAAGUGGAUAACAUCUUAUUUGCAUUGGUACGUGAUUUCUCUGGUAAUGACCCUGUUUUACAAUUAUGUGCUAUUAGUUGUUCUUGUAAUAUAGCACUUGGAAAUGCUAAAGCAUGUACUUCAUUAACCAAAAGUAUUGGACCAUAUCUUAUUACAAAAUUAGAUACUUUAAAUUAUUCUUUAUUGGAAAUAUGCAUAUGGACAAUAGGAAAUUUAAUUUCAGGAAGUAAUAAGGCAUUUGAAAUUCUUCAUGCCCAAGAUUGUUUGAAAUAUAUUAUAUCCUUGAUGUACAAUUGUGAUAAUGUAAUUGUGCCUUCAGUAGCCUAUACUGCUAUGCAUUAUAUACAUAUUGGUUUUCAAUACAUCUUAAAAGAAGAAAUUAUUGAACUUACCAAUGCUACUAUAAAGAGAAACUUUUUAUUUGAAGAUUCAUAUUUUAUUUGGUUGCUUGCAUUAUUAUCUUCAGAAAUAUCGUGUCACAUAUAUUUAUAUUCUGCAAUCCCUUUGAUAGUUGAUUAUUUAUAUGAAAAUAGCAUAAAUAAUAUCACAUCAAUAGUAGAGAUCACAGCAUGUAUAAGAAUAUUAGCUAAUAUUGUACAAGAAACAUCUGGACGAUUGGCAAAGUUUCUAUUGAAAAAUUCAAAAUAUUCACUAUCAAAUUUAAAAACAUUAUUAAAUAAAUUACUUUUAUGUCAGUAUGUACAUAUUAGAAAAGAAACAUUAUGGUUAAUAGGUAAUCUUUAUAAUCACAAUUCUAUUGAUAUAAAAAAGAUGAUACAAGAAGUUAUUUCUGAAUCAUUUUUGAAGCAAACAGUUUUAUAUACAAUUCAACAGUAUCAAUAAAUACAAACUCUAUUAAUUAAAUGAUUACGUGAAUAAAUUGUCGUCGUAAUCCUAUGGAAGUAUGUGUCUCUGGUACAUCCUCAAUACAAGGUAUUUUUAUUAUAUUAAAGUAUAUGCGACCCAUAAUAUGUGCUGUCGGAUGUGUCGUGGCUUUCAAACAACGAUACAGCGCUUCAUCACAUACACAGUGUGACCUAGAAAGGACAAAGAUCAUGACUGCGACAACAUCUGAAAAAGUUAAAUAUAUUGAAAACCGUACUUUAAUUAAACAUAAUUUUCUAUUUUCUUUAAUUUUAAAUUUAUUUUAACAUAUAUUGACCUAUCAAUUUGAGCUUCUUGGCCCAAAUCAUGGUAAUUAUCGGCUAUGUCCCCGGCACCACACCAUUUUGUACCUAUGAAAUCAUCAAAAUUUAUCUCAAAAUAUAGAUGAAUUAUAAAUAUAACAAGAAAGUCUGCAAUAAUCACGAACCUGACAAUCUUUCGUGCUGCAUCUUGUCCAAUAAUUCGCAUUGUUGUAUAAGUUUCGUCAUUUGUGAGAAAGAUACCAGCUGAGGAAUUACUAUGGAUGACAGAUUCCUCAAAACUUCAUUGGCUUCAUCUUGCUCGCUAUAUAUACCGAUUGCAUUUUUUUUAUUUGUGCCUAAAUAUUGAUUUCAAUCUAAUCCUAAUAAAGCACUUACUAUACUUCGAUCAAGUUGCAAUUAUGCAAUUCAUUAUUAAUGCCAAGAUCAACUACUGCCACAGUCUGAUCAUAGUAAUAAACAGCUCUGAUCUCAUUUCUAUCGAAUGUAUCGGCCCUUGAAAUACCAUUUAAUCCUUUGAAAGUAUUUUUGAAGAAGAUCGGUUGCUGAAUACUGUUAGAGAUGAUCGCCACGAUCAAGAAUAAUAUCCAUCCUGUGGAGCUCAUGAUCAUUUUUUAAAUCGUACUGCACUAUGUAUAUUAUCCUGUUUAUAUGAUCAUAUUAAUCACAUUCUCGGGCUUAUCAUGCUGAAAAUCGUUAGAUCACUCAUACAUUAAAGAAACAGAAAUUAAAUUAAUGCAAGUGAAACAUGCGUUGCAUUGCCGAUUUGAUCAGUGCCUUUGUUACGAAUGGAAUUCAAUUCUUGGAAUCGUUUUGAACUCUGAAUAAGAAAUAAAUUUCUCUAAUUUUAA